rnacentral:rRNA from 1 species
GAUGAACGCUGGCGGCGUGUUUAACACAUGCAAGUCGAGCGAGAAGUUUUGAAAAGAUUCUUCGGAUGAAAUUUAAAAUGGAAAGCGGCGGACGGGUGAGUAACGCGUAGGCAACCUGCCCCAUACAAAGGGAUAGCAUUUGGAAACGAAUAUUAAUACCUUAUGAAACUUAACUAGUGCAUGCUAGGUAGGUCAAAGAUUUAUCGGUAUGGGAUGGGCCUGCGUCUGAUUAGCUAGUUGGUGAGGUAACGGCUCACCAAGGCGACGAUCAGUAGCCGACCUGAGAGGGUGAACGGCCACAUUGGAACUGAGACACGGUCCAAACUCCUACGGGAGACAGCAGUGGGGAAUAUUGCACAAUGGGGGAAACCCUGAUGCAGCAACGCCGCGUGAACGAUGAAGGCCUUUGGGUCGUAAAGUUCUGUUCUAGGUGAUGAAAACUGACAGUAACCUAGGAGAAAGCCCCGGCUAACUCCGUG